GGGUUGUGAGGUUAAGCGACUAAGCGUACACGGUGGAUGCCCUGGCAGUCAGAGGCGAUGAAGGACGUGCUAAUCUGCGAUAAGCGUCGGUAAGGUGAUAUGAACCGUUAUAACCGGCGAUUUCCGAAUGGGGAAACCCAGUGUGUUUCGACACACUAUCAUUAACUGAAUCCAUAGGUUAAUGAGGCGAACCGGGGGAACUGAAACAUCUAAGUACCCCGAGGAAAAGAAAUCAACCGAGAUUCCCCCAGUAGCGGCGAGCGAACGGGGAGCAGCCCAGAGCCUGAAUCAGUGUGUGUGUUAGUGGAAGCGUCUGGAAAGGCGCGCGAUACAGGGUGACAGCCCCGUACACAAAAAUACACA
rnacentral:rRNA from 1 species